rnacentral:rRNA from 1 species
UGAGGAAUAUUGGUCAAUGGACGGAAGUCUGAACCAGCCAAGUAGCGUGCAGGAUGACGGCCCUAUGGGUUGUAAACUGCUUUUGUAUGGGGAUAAAGUUAGGGACGUGUCCCUAUUUGCAGGUACCAUACGAAUAAGGACUGGCUAAUUCCGUGCCAGCAGCCGCGGUAAUACGGAAGGUCCAGGCGUUAUCCGGAUUUAUUGGGUUUAAAGGGAGCGUAGGCUGGAGAUUAAGUGUGUUGUGAAAUGUAGACGCUCAACGUCUGAAUUGCGGCGCAUACUGGUUUGCUUGAGUACGCACAACGUUGGCGGAAUUCGUCGUGUAGCGGUGAAAUGCUUAGAUAUGACGAAGAACUCCGAUUGCGAAGGCAGCUGACGGGAGCGCAACUGACGCUUAAGCUCGAAGGUGCGGGUAUCAAACAGG